GGUCAAGCGGUUAAGCGCAUACGGUGGAUGCCUAGGCAGCAGGAGGCGAUGAAGGACGUUGUAGCGUGCGAUAAGCUUCGGGGAGCCCGCAAACAGGCUUUGAUCCGGAGAUCUCCGAAUGGGGAAACCCACUUGGCAUAAGUCAGGUACUGCAUACUGAAUACAUAGGUAUGCAGGGCAAACCCGGGGAACUGAAACAUCUAAGUACCCGGAGGAAAAGAAAUCAACCGAGAUUCCCUAAGUAGCGGCGAGCGAAAGGGGAACAGCCCUUAAGCUUCUUUUGUGUUAAUGGAACGGUCUGGGAAGUCCGGCCAUAGAAGGUGAUAGCCCUGUACAUGAAAACGCAAUUGCAGUGAAAUCGAGUAAGGCGGGACACGAGAUAUCCUGUCUGAACAUGGGGGGACCAUCCUCCAAGGCUAAAUACUCCCUGCUGACCGAUAGUGAACCAGUACCGUGAGGGAAAGGCGAAAAGAACCCCGGUGAGGGGAGUGAAAUAGAACCUAAAACCGUAUGCGUACAAGCAGUCGGAGCCCGUAAGGGUGACGGCGUACCUUUUGUAUAAUGGGUCAGCGACUUACUUUCAGUGGCAAGGUUAACCGUUUAGGGUAGCCGUAGGGAAACCGAGUCUUAACCGGCGUCCAGUCUCUGGAAGUAGACCCGAAACCGAGCGAUCUAUCCAUGGCCAGUGUGAAGGCGAGGUAAUACUCGCUGGAGGCGCGAACCCACUAACGUUGAAAAGUUAGGGGAUGAGCUGUGGAUCGGAGUGAAAGGCUAAACAAGCUCGGAGAUAGCUGGUUCUCCUCGAAAGCUAUUUAGGUAGCGCCUCGUGUCUCACUCUCGGGGGUAGAGCACUGUUUCGGCUAGGGGGCUCCCAGGAGCUUACCAAACCGAUGCAAACUCCGAAUACCGAGAAGUGCAAUCACGGGAGACAGACAGCGGGUGAUAACGUUCGUUGUCAAGAGGGAAACAACCCAGACCGCCAGCUAAGGUCCCAAAAUUAUGGCUAAGUGGUAAACGAUGUGGGAAGGCAGAGACAGCCAGGAGGUUGGCUUAGAAGCAGCCACCCUUUAAAGAAAGCGUAAUAGCUCACUGGUCGAGUCGGCCUGCGCGGAAGAUUCAACGGGGCUCAAGCCAUAUACCGAAGCUGCGGACGCAAACUUUGUUUGCGUGGUAGAGGAGCGUUCUGUACGCCGAUGAAGGCGGACUCGAGAGAGCCGCUGGAGGUAUCAGAAGUGCGAAUGCUGACAUGAGUAACGAUAAAGGCGGUGAAAAACCGCCUCGCCGAAAGCCCAAGGUUUCCUGCGCAACGUUAAUCGGCGCAGGGUUAGUCGGCCCCUAAGAUGAGGGCGAGAGCCGUAAUCGAUGGGAAACAGGUUAAUAUUCCUGUACCGCACAUGACUGCGAUGGGGGGACGGAGUAGGCUAAGUGAGCCGGGUGACGGAAGUCCCGGUUUAAGUGAGUAGGGAGUGUGUUUAGGUAAAUCCGGACGCACAAUCCUGAGACACGAUGACGAGUGCCCACGGGCGCGAAGUCACUGAUGCCAUGCUUCCUGGAAAAGCCUCUAAGCUACAGGUCAUGCGCGACCGUACCGCAAACCGACACAGGUAGGCAGGGUGAGAAUCCCAAGGCGCUUGAGAGAACUCGGGUGAAGGAACUAGGCAAAAUAGUACCGUAACUUCGGGAGAAGGUACGCCCCUGAUGGUGAAGCAACUUGCUUGCUGAGCUGUUGGGGGCCGCAGAGACCAGGUGGCUGCGACUGUUUAUUAAAAACACAGCACUCUGCAAACACGUAAGUGGACGUAUAGGGUGUGACGCCUGCCCGGUGCCGGAAGGUUAAAUGAUGAGGUUAGCCCUCGGGCGAAGCUUUUGAUUGAAGCCCCGGUAAACGGCGGCCGUAACUAUAAACACCGUUGUAGUUACGUAAAAAAACUUGGCUAUAUGCUGGAAACUCCGGUGUAUCCUCCGAUACUCGCCAAUUCAUUGGCAGUGACAAUUCGUGAGGUGCGGACAAUCAGCAGGAAAGGCUCUAGCUUUGUUAG
rnacentral:rRNA from 1 species